UUAACACAUGCAAGUCGAACGCUGAAGCCUGGUGCUUGCACCGGGUGGAUGAGUGGCGAACGGGUGAGUAAUACGUGAGUGACCUGCCUUUGACUCUGGGAUAAGCCUGGGAAACUGGGUCUAAUACCGGAUGCGACUACUGCCCGCAUGGGCUGGUGGUGGAAAGGGUUAUGUACUGGUCUUAGAUGGGCUCACGGCCUAUCAGCUGGUUGGUGGGGUAAUGGCCUACCAAGGCGACGACGGGUAGCCGGCCUGAGAGGGUGACCGGCCACACUGGGACUGAGACACGGCCCAGACUCCUACGGGAGGCAGCAGUGGGGAAUAUUGCACAAUGGGCGCAAGCCUGAUGCAGCGACGCCGCGUGAGGGAUGACGGCCUUCGGGUUGUAAACCUCUUUCAGCAGGGAAGAAGCGGAAGUGACGGUACCUGCAGAAGAAGCGCCGGCUAACUACGUGCCAGCAGCCGCGGUAAUACGUAGGGCGCAAGCGUUGUCCGGAAUUAUUGGGCGUAAAGAGCUCGUAGGCGGCUUGUCGCGUCUGCUGUGAAAGCCCGGGGCUUAACUCCGGGUGUGCAGUGGGUACGGGCAGGCUAGAGUGCAGUAGGGGUAACUGGAAUUCCUGGUGUAGCGGUGAAAUGCGCAGAUAUCAGGAGGAACACCGAUGGCGAAGGCAGGUUACUGGGCUGUUACUGACGCUGAGGAGCGAAAGC
rnacentral:rRNA from 1 species